rnacentral:rRNA from 1 species
AGAGUUUGAUCCUGGCUCAGGAUGAACGCUAGCGGCAGGCCUAACACAUGCAAGUCGAGGGGUAACAGGAAAGCUUGCUUUCGCUGACGACCGGCGCACGGGUGCGUAACGCGUAUGCAACCUACCUCAUACUGGAGGAUAGCCCCUGGAAACGGGGAUUAAUACUCCAUAGUAUCACGAAUUCGCAUGUUUUUGUGAUUAAAGUUUUUCGGUAUGAGAUGGGCAUGCGUCCCAUUAGCUUGUUGGUGAGGUAACGGCUCACCAAGGCAACGAUGGGUAGGGGGCCUGAGAGGGUGGUCCCCCACACUGGUACUGAGACACGGACCAGACUCCUACGGGAGGCAGCAGUGAGGAAUAUUGGUCAAUGGAGGCAACUCUGAACCAGCCAUGCCGCGUGAAGGAUGACGGCCCUAUGGGUUGUAAACUUCUUUUAUAGAGGAAGAAACUUGUCUACGUGUAGACAACUGACGGUACUCUACGAAUAAGGAUCGGCUAACUCCGUGCCAGCAGCCGCGGUAAUACGGAGGAUCCAAGCGUUAUCCGGAUUCAUUGGGUUUAAAGGGUCCGUAGGCGGAUUUUUAAGUCAGUGGUGAAAGCCGACAGCUCAACUGUCGAACUGCCAUUGAUACUGGAGACCUUGAGUACAAAUGAAGUAGGCGGAAUGAGUCAUGUAGCGGUGAAAUGCAUAGAUAUGACUCAGAACACCGAUUGCGAAGGCAGCUUACUAACAUGUAACUGACGCUGAGGGACGAAAGCGUGGGGAGCGAACAGGAUUAGAUACCCUGGUAGUCCACGCCGUAAACGAUCAUCACUCGCUGUUGGCGAUAUACUGUCAGCGGCCAAGCGAAAGUAUUAAGUGAUGCACCUGGGGAGUACGCCGGCAACGGUGAAACUCAAAGGAAUUGACGGGGGCCCGCACAAGCGGUGGAGCAUGU